AUUCAGUUGAAGAGUCCCACACCAGACGAAACGUGCGUCCUGGAU
rfam:Schistosoma curassoni strain Dakar, Senegal genome assembly, scaffold: SCTD_scaffold0006521